AGAGCGAACGCUGGCGGCAGGCCUAACACAUGCAAGUCGAACGGACUCUUCGGAGUUAGUGGCGGACGGGUGAGUAACACGUGGGAACGUGCCUUUAGGUUCGGAAUAGCUCCUGGAAACGGGUGGUAAUACCGAAUGUGCCCUUCGGGGGAAAGAUUUAUCGCCUUUAGAGCGGCCCGCGUCUGAUUAGCUUGUUGGUGAGGUAAUGGCUCACCAAGGCUACGAUCAGUAGCUGGUCUGAGAGGAUGACCAGCCACAUUGGGACUGAGACACGGCCCAAACUCCUACGGGAGCAGCAGUGGGAAUCUUGCGCAAUGGGACGAAAGCCUGACGCAGCCAUGCCGCGUGUAUGAUGAAGGUCUUAGGAUUAGUAAAAUACUUUCACCGGUGAAGAUAAUGACUGUAGACCGAGAAGAAGCCCCGGAUAACGUUCGUGACCAGCAGCCGUAC
rnacentral:rRNA from 1 species